rnacentral:misc_RNA from 1 species
UCGCGGCUUAUCACCGGCAGUCCCCUUAGAGUGCCCAACUGAAUGAUGGCAACUAAGGGCGAGGGUUGCGCUCGUUGCGGGACUUAACCCAACAUCUCACGACACGAGCUGACGACAGCCAUGCACCACCUGCACACAGGCCACAAGGGAAUACCUAUCUCUAGAUACGUCCUGUGCAUGUCAAACCCAGGUAAGGUUCUUCGCGUUGCAUCGAAUUAAUCCACAUGCUCCGCCGCUUGUGCGGGCCCCCGUCAAUUUCUUUGAGUUUCAGUCUUGCGACCGUACUCCCCAGGCGGCGAACUUAACGCGUUAGCUUCGAUACUGAGAGCCUAGUUGCUCCCAACAUCCAGUUCGCAUCGUUUAGGGCGUGGACUAC